AUUGAACGCUGGCGGCAGGCCUAACACAUGCAAGUCGAGCGGAGCGGCCGACGGGUGAGUAAUGCCUAGGAAGCUACCUGGUCGUGGGGGAUAACGUCCGGCAACGGGCGCUAAUAACGCAUAAUUUCAGCUGAGGCUAGGUCUGAUUAGCUAGUUGGUGGGGUAAAGGCCUACCAAGGCGACGAUCAGUAACUGGUCGUCGUGGAUGAUCAGUCACACUGGAACUGAGACACGGUCCAGACUCCUACGGGAGGCAGCAGUGGGGAAUAUUGGACAAUGGGCGAAAGCCUGAUGCAGCCAUGCCGCGUGUGUGAAGAAGGUCUUCGGAUUGUAAAGCACUUUAAGUUGGGAGGCGUUACCAACAGAAUAAGCACCGGCUAACUUCGUGCCAGCAGCCGCGGUAAUAC
rnacentral:rRNA from 1 species